GUAGUCUCGCACAGAUGCAUAUCAAUAAGCGGAGGAAAAGAAACUAACAAGGAUUCCCCUAGUAACGGCGAGUGAAGCGGGAAGAGCUCAAAUUUGAAAUCUUAAAGGGUUUCCCUUUACGAAUUGUAGUUUAAAGAAGUGUUUUCUGUUGAGGUUUUGGUAAAAGUUCUUUGGAAUAGGACAUCAUAGAGGGUGAGAAUCCCGUAUUUGACCUUUACUUUCAACUUUGUGAUACACUUUCAAAGAGUCGGAUUGUUUGGGAAUGCAGUCCAAAAUGGGUGGUAAAUUUCAUCUAAAGCUAAAUAUUGGCGAGAGACCGAUAGCGAACAAGUACUGUGAGGGAAAGAUGAAAAGAACUUUGAAAAGAGAGUUAAACAGUACGUGAAAUUGUCAAAAGGGAAGCGUUUGACACCAGUGUUGUUUUUCUGAAAAUCAAUUAAAGAACUGUUUAUGCUAAGCUGUUUAGACUUUAUCAGCUAACUGUUUAGUUUUGAGCUUUUCUUUAAUGCACUUUUCAGUUAACAAGUCAACAUCAAUUUCUUUUGCUGUAAAAAAGCUUGAGGAAGGUGGCUUGAGAUUCGUCUUAAGUGUUUAUAGCCUCUUGCCUAUGCAGUCGGAGAGAUUGAGGUCAUGCAGCGUAGAUCCUUCGGGGCUAAAUGCAUUUGUGCUAAGUUAUAGCAUUUUAUAGACAACUUGUUGACUAUGAUUUGUCUUGUAGCUUACUCGCUUAUGUUAUUUUACCUACGCUUAGGAUGUUGAACUACUGAGACAUAGA
rnacentral:rRNA from 1 species